ACAGGAUGCUCGCUACGGCGAGUGAAGCGGCAAAAGCUCAAAUUUGAAACCCUCGGGAUUGUAAUUUGAAGAUUUGGCAUUGGAGAAAGCUAACCCAAGGUUGCUUGGAAUAGUACGUCAUAGAGGGUGACAACCCCGUCUGGCUAACCGUUCUCCAUGUAUUGCCUUAUCAAAGAGUCGAGUUGUUUGGGAAUGCAGCUCAAAGUGGGUGGUAAACUCCAUCUAAAGCUAAAUACUGGUGAGAGACCGAUAGCGAACAAGUACUGUGAAGGAAAGGUGAAAAGAACUUUGAAAAGAGAGUGAAAUAGUAUGUGAAAUUGUUGAUAGGGAAGGAAAUGAGUGGAGAGUGGCCGA
rnacentral:rRNA from 1 species